GAUGAAGAACGCAGCGAAAUGCGAUAAGUAAUGUGAAUUGCAGAAUUCAGUGAAUCAUCGAAUCUUUGAACGCACAUUGCGCCCGCCAGCACUCUGGCGGGCAUGCCUGUUCGAGCGUCAUUUCAACCAUCAAGCCCCCAGGGGCUUGUGCUGGGGCCCUGCGGCUGCCCGCAGGCCCUGAAAACCAGUGGCGGGCUCGCUAGUCACACCGAGCGCAGUAGCACAUCUCGCUCAGGGCGUGCGUGCGGGCGCCGGCCGUAAAAGACGAGAGCGCGGCCUCGGCCGCCCACAAAUACCACAAGGUUGACCUCGGAUCAGGUAGGAAUACCCGCUGAACUUAAGCAUAUCAAUAAGCGGAGGA
rnacentral:misc_RNA from 1 species